rnacentral:rRNA from 1 species
AACACGCUUUGAUCCGGGAAUCUCCGAAUGGGGCAACCCUUAGAACGGCCAACUGAAUAAAUAGGUUGGUUCGAGCCAACCCAGCGAACUGAAACAUCUUAGUAGCUGGAGGAAAGGAAAGUAAAAACGACUCCCUAAGUAGCGGCGAGCGAACGGGGAAUAGCCCAAACCAACGGUUGCGACUGUUGGGGUUGUGGGACAGUAAAAUGGAUUUUGGAGACUAGUAGAAGCGUUUGAAUGGCGCGCCAUAGAGGGUGAAAGCCCCGUAUACGAAAGUUGAAUUAACCUAGCUGUAUCCCGAGUAGCACGGAGCACGUGGAAUUCCGUGUGAAUCUGCGAGGACCACCUCGUAAGGCUAAGUACUACUGUGUGACCGAUAGUGAAGCAGUACCGCGAGGGAAAGGUGAAAAGAACCCCGGGAGGGGAGUGAAAUAGAACAUGAAACCGUGAGCUUACAAGCAAUGGGAGCCCGACUUAUCGGGUGACUGUGUGCCUGUUGAAGAAUGAGCCGGCGACUUAUAGGCACUGGCAGGUUAAGGGGGAAAUCCCGGAGCCAUAGCGAAAGCGAGUCUGAAUAGGGCGAUAGUCAGUGUUUAUAGACCCGAACCCGGGUGAUCUAACCAUGGCCAGGAUGAAGCUUGGGUGAUACCAAGUGGAGGUCCGAACCGACUGAUGUUGAAAAAUCAGCGGAUGAGCUGUGGUUAGGGGUGAAAUGCCAAUCGAACCCGGAGCUAGCUGGUUCUCCCCGAAAUACGUUGAGGCGUAGCGUCUAGUGCUCCAGCAGGGGGGUAAAGCCACUGUUUCGGUACGGGCUGCGAGAGCGGUACCAAAUCGAGACAAACUCUGAAUACCCUGUGUGUAACUAGGCAGUCAGACUGUGGGGGGAUAAGCUCCAUGGUCAAGAGGGAAACAGCCCAGACCGCCAGCUAAGGUCCCUAAAUAAACACUAAGUGAUAAAGGAAGGUGGGAUUGCCCAGACAACCAGGAGGUUUGCCUAGAAGCAGCCAUCCUCAAAGGA